rnacentral:rRNA from 1 species
GACAGAGGUGCCGAGCGUUAGGCGGAAUCACUGGGCUUAAAGCGUGUGUAGGCGGGCGGGCAAGUACCUUGUGAAAUCCCACGGCUCAACCGUGGAACGGCUGGGUAUACUGCCUGUCUUGAGCCAACUAGGGGCGAGCGGAACAGACGGUGGAGCGGUGAAAUGCGUAGAUAUCGGGAGGAACACCAGUGGCGAAGGCGAUCACCUGGGGUUGUUCUGACGCUGAGGAGCGAAAGCUAGGGGAGCAAACGGG